CCUACGGGUGGCAGCAGUGGGGGAUAUUGCACAAUGGGGGAAACUCUGAUGCAGCGACGCCGCGUGAGUGAUGAAGUAUUUCGGUAUGUAAAGUUCUAUCAGCAGGGAAGAAAAUGACAGUACUUGCCCAAUAACCCCCGACUAACUACGUCCCAGCAGCCGCGGCAAUACGUAGGGGGCAAGCGUUAUCCGGCUUGACUGGGUGUAAAGGGAGCGUAGUCGGUUAUGUAAGUCUGGAGUGAAAGCCCGGGGCCCAACCCCGGGACUGCUUUGGAAACUGUGUGACUGGAGUACAGGAGGGGCAGGCGGAAUUCCUUGUGUAGCGGUGAAAUGCGUAGAUAUCAGGAGGAACAUCAGCGGCGAAGGCGACCUGCUGGACUGAAACUGACGUUGAGGCUCGAAAGCGUGGGGAGCAAACAGGAUUAGAUACCCUAGUAGUC
rnacentral:rRNA from 1 species